GACGAACGCUGGCGGCGUGCUUAACACAUGCAAGUCGAACGGUGAAGCGCCUUCCUUUUUGGUGGGUGUGGAUGAGUGGCGAACGGGUGAGUAACACGUGAGUAACCUGCCCCCUUCUUCUGGAUAACCGCAUGAAAGUGUGGCUAAUACGGGAUAUUCUGGGUCUGUCGCAUGAUGGGUCUGGGAAAGAUAUUGUUUCGGUGGGGGAUGGGCUCGCGGCCUAUCAGCUUGUUGGUGGGGUGAUGGCCUACCAAGGCGGUGACGGGUAGCCGGCCUGAGAGGGGGGACGGUCACACUGGGACUGUGACACGGCCCAGACUCCUACGGGAGGCAGCAGUGGGGAAUAUUGCACAAUGGGCGCAAGCCUGAUGCAGCGACGCCGCGUGAGGGAUGGAGGCCUUCGGGUUGUGAACAUCUUUCUCCAGUGAAGCAGGCCUGCCGCGUUUGUGGGUGGGUUGACGGUAGCUGGAUAAGAAGCGCCGGCUAACUACGUG
rnacentral:rRNA from 1 species